rnacentral:rRNA from 1 species
UACGGGGGGGGCAAGCGUUGUUCGGAAUUACUGGGCGUAAAGGGCGCGUAGGCGGUGUGUCAAGUCAGGCGUGAAAGCCCCGGGCUCAACCUGGGAACUGCGCUUGAGACUGGCACGCUCGAGUUCGGGAGAGGAUGGUGGAAUUCCCAGUGUAGAGGUGAAAUUCGUAGAUAUUGGGAAGAACACCGAUGGCGAAGGCAGCCAUCUGGACCGACACUGACGCUGAGGCGCGAAAGCGUGGGGAGCAAACAGG